UCACUCAUCACAUGAUGUGUUUAUCCAGCUGAAUGGUGGACAUUUUGUCCAGAAGAAGAAACACAAUCAAAAACUUUUGCCCUAACUUCCCUAGCAAGUUUCUGAGAGGACAAAUGGUGAAAUUAAGGAAACAAAGUUUGACAAGGAGAACUUUCAGCUCACAACACCAUGCUGGUUGUGACUGAUGACUGUGCUGUCCUUCAGCUCUGCAGUGCUCUCUCCAAGGUAGCCUGGGAGUGUUUUCUUCCCUCUUCUACUACAAAGCCACAGGUCAGAGGUGUCAACCUUCAACCUGGAAAAGUAUGUGUGCUUGGAAAAUCUGUAGGACUCAUUAUGCAGUGGUUCCAGAGUGCCCCUCCACCACUGAAGUGUUUCAGCUUUUCAGUGUCUGCUGCACAGGCUCUGGGUGCGUUGAUGUUCCCAAACCUGUCACCUCACUCCAGGCUUCUAUUUAGUGAUGGGACAGACUCCAUUACCCAGAGAGUGCUGGAG